CCGUUCCCAUACCGAACACGGAAGUUAAGCUUCUCAGCGCCGAUGGUAGUUGGGGGUUUCCCCCUGUGAGAGUAGGACGCCGCCGGGC
rnacentral:rRNA from 1 species